CCUGUGAGCAGCAAGAGUUCGUGCACAUGGAGACGGAGACGGAGAGGCCUGGCAUGCAGCACAGCGGUACUGCUGGUGCCUGGAGAUGGACUCUGCACUUCUCCCCAUUUUACAGAUGAGAACAGUUGAGCAAGGUCAGCAGCAGAGUCAGAACUCUUCCCCCAUCACCACAGUGGUCCUCAAGCUGGAGCCAGACAUCCACCCAGGUGACCCAGCUUGGAUCAUGUGCUUAGGGCCAUGUUGAGCCAACAACUGAGCCUGAGGAUUACCUUCCCAAGUCUCAGUCCCUUCCUCACCAGUCGGGACACUUGUCAUGCCUGCGAGAUGUCAGACCUGCCUUCCUUCCUCAUUUCCUCCACAACCCACAAGAACACAGCCAGGACCCCUAGGCUUCUCCACUUCAGGACCACUACACACUAUUCACACCAUCCUUCAGGACCACUACACACUAUUCACACCAUCCUUCAGGACCACUACACACUAUUCACACUGUACGUCAGGACCACUACACACUAUUCACACCAUCCUUCAGGACCACUACACACUAUUCACAUUGUACUUCAGGACCACUACACACUAUUCAUACCAUCCUUCAGGACCACUACACACUAUUCACAUUGUACUUCAGGACCACUACACACUAUUCACACCAUCCUUCAGGACCACUACACACUAUUCACAUUGUGCUUCAGGACCACUACACACUAUUCACACUGUACUUCAGAUCCACUAUACACUAUUCACACCAUCCUUCAGGACCACUAUACACUAUUCACACUGUACUUCAGGACCACUAUACACUAUUCACACUGUACUUCAGAUCCACUAUACACUAUUCACACCAUCCUUCAGGACCACUACACACUAUUCACACUAUCCUUCAGGACCACUAUACACUAUUCACACUGUACUUCAGGACCACUACACACUAUUCACACCAUCCUUCAGGACUACUACACACUAUUCACACCAUCCUUCAGGAUCACUAUAUGUGGCCUGUUGUACCAUGUGAUCUCGAUCUCACUGCAUGGCUAGGAGAACCUCCGCGCACUUCUCUCAUCUGUGCUUUCUCAGCUAGAGAGGUCUCAGAAGAUACUGUGAGCAAAACCUCCU
rnacentral:lncRNA from 1 species